UACGUAGGGGGCAAGCGUUGUCCGGAUUUAUUGGGCGUAAAGAGCGUGUAGGCGGCCAGGUAGGUCGGUUGUGAAAACUCGAGGCUCAACCUCGAGACGUCGGCGGAAACCAUCUGGCUAGAGUCCGGAAGAGGAGAGUGGAAUUCCCCGGUGUAGCGGUGAAAUGCGCAGAUAUGCGGAGGAACACCGAUGGCGAAGGCAAUCCCCUGGACCUGUACUGACGCUCAUGCACGAAAGCGUGGGGAGCAAACAGG
rnacentral:rRNA from 1 species